CGGGGUUUUCGGGAAAUACGGUGAAGGAUUUCUAUGAACCAGUACGGCACAACCACCGGUGUUUCUGAACUAAAAAUCUGAAUCAGGGAGAGAGGCGGAGGAGUGCUUCGCAACCUCGAUGAGAACACAAACGCCUUUAGCCUCUUCAUUGAAUCCGAGCCCUUCAAUUUUAACAAGUUCUUCCUGCAAAUGAGCAUUUCCUGGGACUUUCAGAGCACCUGAGAACAGCUCCAUCAGCCACGUCAAAUGCUUCACAGCGGCGGUCAAUUACAUUCGGGCAUAUUUAAGAUUAGGAGAAAGCCAGGCGUCGCUUUUCUCCUCGCUCGCCUCAGGUGAGGCGGUUCAGAAACUCUUACGGCCACCGGUUGCUGUUUGUCCCCAGAGAGGGCUUAAAAGCUGAAUAACCCCCUCCCAAAAUGAUGACCAUAGGCGAAACCCCUCAGAACAUAUCUGCCCACAAAUUGCUUAACAAUCUCUAGGAUGAAGCAAGUUGCGCCAGGAUGCUCUCCGCAGCGAACCCUUCAGCCCCGUUCUCCGUGCCUCGAGGAAAGCUUUCCUCUGCCCUUGGCUGCCCACCGCGCAGAGGCGGAGGGGAGGGCUCGCUGCUUUGCUCUCAGCUCCCCCAGGGCGCCCGGUGCCCGCGCAGGGUACGAGGCCGGGCUGCGGGCUGCCCUCGGGGCAGGGGGUGCGCCCGGCGCCGGGAGGUGCCUGCCCCGAGCUGGUACCCCGGGCACAGCCCGGCACCCGGCGGUGUUUACCCAUGACUCAGGGCCAGGCGAGGGAUGCAAAGACUUCGCAAGGGCUUGUUGGUGCCGGGUCAUGUUGACCGAUUCCUGA
rnacentral:lncRNA from 1 species